rnacentral:rRNA from 1 species
GAUGAACGCUAGCGGCAGGCUUAACACAUGCAAGUCGAGGGGUAUGCCGAUUUAUCGGCAGAGACCGGCGCACGGGUGCGUAACGCGUAUGCAAUCUACCUUUCACAGAGGAUAGCCCAGAGAAAUUUGGAUUAAUACCUCAUAGUAUAGCAGUUUCGCAUGAAACCACUAUUAAAGUUCCAACGGUGAAAGAUGAGCAUGCGUCCCAUUAGCUAGAUGGUAAGGUAACGGCUUACCAUGGCUACGAUGGGUAGGGGUCCUGAGAGGGAGAUCCCCCCACACUGGUACUGAGACACGGACCAGACUCCUACGGGAGGCAGCAGUGAGGAAUAUUGGUCAAUGGGCGCAAGCCUGAACCAGCCAUGCCGCGUGCAGGAAGACGGUCCUAUGGAUUGUAAACUGCUUUUAUACAGGAAGAAACCCUCCCACGUGUGGGAGCUUGACGGUACUGUAGGAAUAAGGAUCGGCUAACUCCGUGCCAGCAG